rnacentral:rRNA from 1 species
UACGGAGGGUGCAAGCGUUAUCCGGAUUUACUGGGUUUAAAGGGUGCGUAGGUGGACAGGAAAGUCAGUGGUGAAAUCUUCGAGCUUAACUCGGAAACUGCCAUUGAUACUAUUUGUCUUGAAUACUUUGGAGGUAAGCGGAAUAUGUCAUGUAGCGGUGAAAUGCUUAGAUAUGACAUAGAACACCAAUUGCGAAGGCAGCUCACUACGGGAUUAUUGACACUGAGGCACGAAAGCGUGGGGAUCAAACAGG